AACGAACGCUGGCGGCAUGCCUAACACAUGCAAGUCGAACGAGACCUUCGGGUCUAGUGGCGCACGGGUGCGUAACGCGUGGGAACCUGCCCUUAGGUUCGGAAUAACUCCCCGAAAGGGGUGCUAAUACCGGAUAAUGUCUUCGGACCAAAGAUUUAUCGCCUUUGGAUGGGCCCGCGUUGGAUUAGCUAGUUGGUAGGGUAAAAGCCUACCAAGGCGACGAUCCAUAGCUGGUCUGAGAGGAUGAUCAGCCACACUGGGACUGAGACACGGCCCAGACUCCUACGGGAGGCAGCAGUGGGGAAUAGUGGACAAGGGGCGAAAGCCUGAUCCAGCAAUGCCGCGGGAGUGAUGAAGGCCUUAGGGUUGUAAAGCUCUUUUACCCGGGAUGAUAAUGACAGUACCGGGAGAAUAAGCUCCGGCUAACUACGUG
rnacentral:rRNA from 1 species